ACUUACGGCCAUACCACCCUGAGAACGCCCGAUCUCGUCUGAUCUCGGAAGCUAAGCAGGGUCGGGCCUGGUUAGUACUUGGACGGGAGACCGCCUGGGAAUACCAGGUGCUGUAAGCU
rnacentral:rRNA from 1 species